UACGAGGGGGGCGAGCGUUGUUCGGAAUUAUUGGGCGUAAAGGGUGCGUAGGCGGUUUGGGAAGUCUGAUGUGAAAUCUAUGGGCUCAACUCAUAGUCUGCAUCGGAAACUGCCGGGCUUGAGUGUGGGAGAGGUGAGUGGAAUUCCUGGUGUAGCGGUGAAAUGCGUAGAUAUCAGGAGGAACACCUGUGGCGAAAGCGAGUCUCUGGACAUUUCCUGACGCUGAGGCACGAAAGCCAGGGGAGCAAACGGG
rnacentral:rRNA from 1 species